GGAAGACGAAUGCUGCUCGCAUAUCAUGCUUCUUGGUGUACUGCGACGGAAUCCGCCGCUCUUUUCGCCGAUCGCCGCAGCCUGAUCCCUCCUCCGGUUGCUGCUGGAUCCGGCGCGCGGGUGGUGCGAUUGCUGCUGCUCGUGUCGCCUUGAGAGUGGAUUUUUGUUUUUUGUUUUUUUGUUUUGUUUUUCCGGUGGGAUAUGGGCUGCGGAGGCUCCAAGAUCGAGGAGGAGGCCGCGGUGACGCUCUGCCGCCGGCGCACGCGGCUUCUUGCCGAUGUCAUUCGCUGUCGCUACGAUCUCGCCGACGCACACUCCGCUUACGUCGGAUCCCUCGCAUCCGUCAGCGCCGCUCUCCGUGAGUUGCUGAAUGGGCCGCUCCCGCCUUCUUCCCCUGUACUCCCCCUCCCCGGCCAGCGGAAGGGUGACUCCCUCCCGCCGCUCACUCCGUCCCCUCCUCCGGCGGCCGCGGCACUCCCCUCUGCUGCUGACCGUGGCCACUCUGGCUCGCACAUUCAUUUCCAUUCCUCAGAUUCUGAUUCGGACGAUGAUUCGCCCCUUCACUCGGAUGGCGCUUCUCCGAUCCACCACCUCCCCGGGGAUGACUCUCCGCCCGUUGGGCGGACCUACCUCAACCUACACUAUGCGAGAAACCGCCCCGCAGAGUCGUCGGUCACCUAUGAGCAGCAACCUCCGAGCUCCGAGCCGAUACGCUUCGGCACCGUUGAUGAACUUGCUCCCACGGCUUACUCUUACUAUGGCCGCCCGUAUCCCCCUCAAAAUUCCAACUUUUACCCUUCCCAUCCUUCUUAUCCAUCAUACGUCAACUACGGUGGCGGUAUCUUCGGAUCCUCCUCACCGCCUCCAAACAUUCCGCCACCUGCCAUGGGAGCAGGUGGGAAUCCUACUCCUAGUGAGCCUCCGCCACCUCCGUCGCCCAAGGCUUCAACAUGGGAUUUUCUCAACCCGUUCGAGUCGUAUGAUGAUUAUUACGCUCCAUAUACCUCAAGCCGAAGCUCAAACGAGUUGAGAGAGGAGGAAGGAAUUCCUGAUCUGGAAGACGAAGCUCAGGAAGUGGUCAAGGAAGCUUAUGGCGAUCCAAAGUUCGUAGCAUCCACAUCAGCCGCUGCAGAUGGGGAGCACUAUGGUAAGGCUGCUAUGGGGUCAAAAGAAGUUAUGACCGGAAGUGUUGGGGAAGAUUCCCAAAGAAAGUCGAAGUCAAUGGAGGUAAGGAGUAGCUCGGAGCAGGAGGUUCAUGUGGUGGAGAAGAGUGUGGUGACUGGACCAGCAGAGCAGCACAAUGCAGAUUUCAUGGUUUCUAAGAAUUAUCAAAAUGAUUCUGAGAUCGUGCAGGAGAUAAAGAUUCAGUUUGAUAGGGCUUCCCAAUCGGUUGUUCAGGUGUCCAAGAUUCUUGAAGUGGGAAAGGUUCAGUAUCAGCACAAGAAUUCUGUGUAUAAAGUUUCUGCCGGGAUGAUAUGUGGACUUUCUCUAUUUGCAACUUCUACCAGCAAAGAUCUUUCAUUUGAAGAAGACUACAGUCUUUCGUCAACAUUGCAGAAGCUCUACAAUUGGGAACAAAAGCUUCUCGAGGAAGUCAUGGUUGAAGAAGAGAUGAGGGUGCUAUAUGAAAGAAAACUCCAAUACUCGAGGCACUUAAGUGAAAGGGGCGCAGAAGCUGAAAGGCUUGAUGCAGUGGAAACUACCAUCAGGAAACUGUCUACAAAGAUAAGAGUAGCCAUUCAAGUUGUGGACACAGUUUCAAGUAAAAUCAGUCAGUUAAGGGAUGAAGAAUUAUGGCUACUAAUUAAAGAACUAAUUAGUGGGUUUAAGGAGAUGUGGAAAGUUAUAUCAGAAUGCCAUCAUAUUCAGUAUCAAGCAAUAUCUGAGACCAAAAACAUGGACUCUAUUGUGUCUGGAGGAAAGCUUUCUGAUAAUACUCAUCCAGACACAGUAAAGCAAUUAGAACUGGCGAUGGCGGAAUGGAUUGCCAAUUUCUCUGCUUGGGUUAGCGCUCAAAAGAUCUAUAUCAGUGCUUUGAAUGAAUGGCUGAAGAAAGGUAUCCAUUAUGAACCAGAGGUUACAGAUGAUGGAGUGGUUCCUUUUUCUCCUGGAAGAUUAGGUGCACCUCCUGUAUUUGUCAUUUGUAACUAUUGGUCUUCCAGCAUAGAAAUGGUAUCUGAAAAAGCUGUUGUUAAAGCAGCAAAGGAUUUUGUUGAUACUGUUCUUAAUAUUUGGAAAGAGAACAAAGUUUUGCUGCAGCAGAGAUUAUUGAUAAACAAAAAUAUGGAUGACAUGCUAAGGUCAAUGGAAAAUGAACAAGAAGAACUUCUUAAGCAGAGAAAAAAAUUAAUGAUAAUUUCUGGUGAUAAUUUGGCAACAACUGAACAUGUGCAUCAUGAAUCGACUAGUCUCCAGUCCAAUUUGAGGCAUAUCUUUGAAGCUGUAAAAGAUUUUUCUGCUAAUACCAUGAAAGCAUAUGAGGUACUUUACAAACAAACUGAAGAGACACAGAUUUGCUGAGCCGAGGCAAGAGAGUUGUAGGAUAUUGCAUCAUUUUGAUUGAUCAUCCACACAACUACUUGACUUUGUUGAGAUUAGUAUUCAUGGAUAAAUGUGAGCCAUAGCUCUGUCAUUAGACUCAAGGUUUGUGUCUGGUAUAUAUCAUCAGAUGCUUGGUAAAAUAGUUGCUCUUCCACCUUCGGCAAUUGGAUCAAGGCUAUGAACCAGCUCACUUCAUAUGUAUCCAUUGUUUGCGGUACUUUCUCAAAGUCAUUUCCAAAAAGCUCAGAGUGAGCAUAGGCAAAAUGGAUCUGAGAUGAACUUCUGAGUGUAUCAUAAAACAUUGGCAGAAAACUUGGCAUGACCUUCAUAGAUAAAGAUUCCAAUGAUUCACAAUCAUGUAUAGGGGAUCCAUAUCAUGAGCAUAUCACUCUAGAUAGUGUGACCUACAAGGUCUGAGUAGCUUUAUAUCAUCACAAUGGAAGGACCAAACAACAGGAAAAUGAUUUCCAAACCGCUAUAUCAGAAAGUUUGGUGGUAUAUGAUGAUUAGUUGGUUUAAGUCUUGGUAUUUGAAAGUUGACUAGGUAAUUUGCAGUUAGCUCCGAAAUAUUAGAAUCUCCAUGUGUAUGUCAGACACCUGAUAGUCCAACACCGAUCCUUUGAGUUGGAUAUCAACAUCCUCAUUGAUAUUAUGACGUUGAUCCUCCGAGUUCAAUAUCAACAUCCCCAUUGAGUGUGUAAGAAAUUGAGGAACAACUGUGCCAGAAACUUAGAUCCAUAUCUGUAAACAACUGAGCCAGAAACUCAGAUCCAUACCUGUAAACAACUGUGCUAGAAACUUAGAUCCAUAUCUGUGUUGGAUCUACUCUUACUGAAAUCUAGUAGCAGUCUACCACUGGCCCAUAUCACCUUUUCAAUCAUUUAUGUAAUUGUACAAGAACUUCUGCCAAAGUAUGCCACACCACAAACUCAGCUCCACCUCUUCACUGCAGUCUGUACUUUUCAUGCUGCUCUGAUUAAUUAAAUGCAAGCAUUUGUUGCCACUGUUACUGCUGUCAUUUUUGCAUGACAAUGAGCUUGGAACAGCACAAUACAGGAGCAUUUGGUUAGCCAGUGAGGCUUCAGCUUCACUUACUACUGAUCUCCCACAUAAUUCUCAUUAUGAUUAUCAGUUAGCACAGCAUAGUGCAAGCAACUGAUACUCAGGGAAAGAGAUUAUUAUGUAUGUGCAAAUGUGGAUUACCUUUACCUCAGCUUAGUCCAUAAGCUAUUCGGUUUGUCAACCUUGCUGUGCAGUUGGCGUACAGAAACAGUGUCUUUAGCAAUAUUGGUUCUAUGCUCAUUGACUUGUGAUUUACUGCAGUCUUAUCUGUCUAAUUAGCCAGCAUGAUAGCAGAUGAAAUGGGGUAUGAACUCUGAAGGUCUUGCGGCAGAGACGAAAAAUCUAGAUAAACACAUGACUGUUUAGAAUCUGAUGUAGUUACUGACUGAAGCAUGCUGAAUUGCUUAUUUUUGUUAGGAAGGCCAAGGAUAGAUGGGUCAAGCAAUAGAUGAGUUCGAUAAACCCGUAGGUUGAACGCACCAGGAAGAUCGAACAGGUUAAAAGCUUGAGUGGGAUAAACAGAUUAACUGGAUGGAUCGAAUAAGCCUUAUCAAUAAAGCCAAGCAGAAGAUGACUUUGGCUGGUUCCAAAAAUGCUAUGGUUGUGACAUGACCCAACUCAGCAUGUACUCAUAAGAAACAAGUCAGCAGCUCUGCAAGUCUCUGUAGCCUGAUUUCAAUGCCUGGCGACUUGUUGCUAAAAUCUUCUGUAAUUCUAUAUCACAUGCAUUGCUUCUAAUUGUCUUGUAGAAACAGAUUACUCUGUUCUGUUGUUAUAACAUGUUUAGGAAGUGAAGCAGGGUGUGACUGACCACGAAGACUGUCUUUUAGUUCUUCACAAGUAGACGAGCAUAAAGUCCAGAGGACAAUCAUUAUCACACCGCUUAGCUGCCCGUGAUUAGUGGCUGUUCAUGUUCAUGACUCCAGAUCAUGUGAGGCAUCAGUCAACUAGAGCGACUGAUAGAUUUGUAAAACUACGAGAUCUCGCUCACUCAAUACGGUAACGAUAUCUUGAAUGGUAGCUGAAAGGUACUUGGGUGUUGGCUCCACAGUCAUCUGUAGAGAGAUAAAUUAAGAAACUGUAAUUGACGAACAUGUGUACGAUAUCUUGAAUGAAUCUAUAAAGGUUAUGUUUGAUCAAAAA